rnacentral:lncRNA from 1 species
AACCAGACUCUGAGCAGUAGCAUGAACCAAAUGUUGUCCUAGACCUGAAGUUUGGCCAUAUCCCAUUGUAAGCAUUGACAUCACCACCUACCUCUCAGAGACAGUUAACAGGCCUGAGGUAUGAUGAGAAAAGAGAGCAACCAGACACAACAACUAACCAGCAUUCCUUCCUGAUAAUAGACCACUGACCUUGGAGUGGCUCUGGCCAGUCUACAAAGGAUGCACACUGAGUACCUUAGUGUCCUCUGCUUCACCUUUUGACAUCAGAGGGCAGAAAACUCCACCCAUGCCUCCAGGCUUCCAUGAAGAGGCAUGAAGCUCAGUUUCCGCUUUCAUAAAUAUUUAUGACUCCUCCUGUAGCUAUUAAAUAAUGUAUAUUUGAC